rnacentral:ncRNA from 1 species
UAAAAGUUUUAUUUUAGUUUAAAAGAUUAGAUUAAAAUUACAAUUUAUAUGUAAAUUUAAGUGGGAAAUUAAUUUGUUUUUAAAAAAGAUAAAUUAUUUUUAUGGUCGCAGUAGAUAAAUUUAAAUAUUUACGAAAGUAAGAUUUAGGGAAAUUUUUUAGUAUUAACAAAUUUUGUGCCAGCAGUUGCGGUUAUACAGGUAAUACAAUUUAAUUAAAUUAGUUCUAAUAAAUUGUUAUAUAAAAUAAUUUUAUAUUGAGAUUUAUGAGGUGAAAUUUUAAAUUUUAUAAAGAUUAAAUUAUAAAUUAUUAUUUAGGAAACUUUUUGUUUAAACUAGGAUUAGAUACCCUAUUAUUAAAAGCUUAAAUUUUAACUGAAUUAGUAGUAGUUAUGUUCUUGAAAAUUAAAGAAUUUGGCGGUAUUUUAGUCCAUUCAGAGGAACCUGUUCUAUAAUCGAUGGUCCACGAUUAGUCUAACUUUUUUUAGUAGUUUGUAUAUCGUCGUAGUUUGAAUAUUUUUGUAGAAAUUUAAUAUUCAAGAUUCACUUUGUGAAGGAAUUCAGAUCAAGGUAUAGCUUAUAAAAAAGAAGAAAUGGGUUACAUUAAUUUUAAUUGAGGAGAGUUUGAUUUAAAAUUGAUUUGAAUAUGGAUUUGAAAGUAAUUUUUUUUAUUUAAGAAAAAUGAUUUUGGCUCUAAAAUAUGCACAUAUUGCCCGUCGCUUUCAUUAUAAGGUGAAAUAAGUCGUAACAAAGUAGUCUUACUGGAAAGUGAGGCUAGAAUGAU